rnacentral:rRNA from 1 species
UAAAAAAUUUGGCGGUAUUUUAGUCUAUUCAGAGGAACCUGUUCUAUAAUCGAUAAUCCACGAUGGACCUUACUUAAAUUAGUUUUCAGUUUAUAUACCGUCGUUAUUAGAAUAUUUUAUAAGAAUGUUAAUUUUCAUAAUUUUAAAAAAGAAAAUAUAUCAGAUCAAGGUGUAGCUUAUAUUUAAGUAGAAAUGGGUUACAAUAAAUAUAUUUAAAUGGAUAUAAAUUUGAAAAGUUUAUUAAAAGUGGAUUUGAUAGUAAAUUUAUAAAGAUUAAUAAUUUGAUUUUAGCUCUAAAAUAUGCACACAUCGCCCGUCACUCUUAUUAUUAAGAUAAGAUAAGUCGUAACAUAGUAGAUGUACUGGAAAGUGUACCUAGAAUGCAAUUUAAAGCUUAAUUAGUAAAGUAUUUCAUUUACAUUGAAAAGAUUUUUGUGCAAAUCAAUAUAGAUUGAUUUAAAUUUUAUUUAUUAAUAAUUUUUAUUUAAGAUUAAUUUAUUAAAAAUAAUUAUAUAAAGUUUUGUUUUAGUAUUUUAUAAAUAAAAAAUAAUUUAAAUUAUAGUGUAAUAGUAUUG